rnacentral:rRNA from 1 species
UUCUAAGGCCACACCACCCUGAACAUGCUCCAAUGCACCAGAUCGCGUCUGAUCCCGGAAGCUAAGCAGGGCUGAGCCUCGUUAGUUCUUAUAUGGGAGAUCGCCUGGGAACACUGGGUGCUGUAGGCG